rnacentral:tRNA from 1 species
GCCUACGUGGUGUAACGGCAGCACACUCGGCGCGUAUUCGAGAGAUCCAGGUUCGAGUCCUGCCGAAAGUA